GGGAAGACUAUCACAUGGGAGCUGGAAGGCUGCCAGCAUGGAGACACGGCGAGAGCAAGCGUCUGAAGAGCCUGAGCUAUUUUGGGAUUUGUCUGUACUACACUGAAAAUGACACCUGUUACACACAGACACAAAUGAGAAGAAUUGCAAGCUCUCAAUUUCUCAGAUAAGAUUCUUCAAAAAAGAACAAAAAAAACCCACACGAGCCAUGCAUCUGGGAGAGCAGGGUCGGCUGAUCAUGUGAAGAGGAUGACCACUGCAACUGAGCAGACAUCAGUACAAGAACUGCAGGUUUGCUGCGUCUGAGGCAGGGGAAGAUCGAACCUCCACGCAACCAAAGGAGAGCCUCUUCUUGAUGCCAGGGAAUUGGACCUCCAGCACGUGCAGCUCCUCCGUACGCUUUUCCACCCAGCAACCAUGCCCACUGGAGAGCCCAGCUGUUGCAGGGGAGCCACGGUCUUCAGAUAUACUUGAUGCAAGUAUAUUCCCUUCCCCUGCCCGUGGGGCACAGGCCUUCUGCCCACAGUCACAGUCUUGCUACAGGAAGGGCACAAAUAGAUGGGACCUGCUUCUUCCACAUUGACAAAGAGAAAAAGCCUCAAAUUCCCUCCUUCUGGGCGACUGACCUUUUCACAUCCCACUAGAGCAUGGUACCCAAAACGCGAGUCCAACCCAACUGCCAGCCCUGCUACUGUGGCUCCUCUAGAGGGGUACGCCGCAUGCAAGGGCCCAGUCUAACACUUUUCUUGAAUGUUUGCAAAAGCUGAACAUUACUGGGGCAGUUGUUGGGGAGAAAUCUAUGUACAACAAACCAACUCAAGGCAACCAAGAGUGGGUCUUCUCAGGGCUCAAUCCAGUUGUGUUGCACUAAUGGCUAAUCAUACUUUAAUAAUAUUAAUGUUUCCUUUAGAAAUACAAAAAGGCUAACUAUAUGAGCAGUAGAUAUUUAAAUACAGGCCUAGUAAAUGGCCAGGUGCACUGCUGACUUUGUUUAAAUCCAUUUGUUCGUUUAAAUCUUCAACAUCUUUUCCUGGUACUAUUUAGGAAAAAUCACAGUGAUAUCACUACAUGGUUUUAAUCAAUACAGCUUUUAAGAGAUGAUUCCCCUUUUGUGCUGUUUGUGCUGCUCGUGGAACAACACAUUCCUAAUCCAUGACUAGGCUUCCAAAGUACACAGUAAAAUGAAUAAUAAUGAUAGUAAAAAGUGUACAGCUUUUUUCUAUGCAGACAACCUUUAUAUUACUUUAGUGCUGGAUUUUCCAGCUGGAUUCCUAUUAUAUGUGGAAAUUAAAGACAGUUAUUUUGUAAAAAAAACCAAAAACUACCCACCAGAAAUUAAAAAACAAACCUCCUAGCAAGCUCCUCCUUUAAAGAAAAUUUUCAUAUCAUUCCUGGGUGCAAAGGCAGAACGACUCAAGCCAGAUAGAUUUAAACAACAACUCAGCUGGAGCAUGGAUAGGGCACCAGACAGCUUGCUAAAAAUAGAUUAAUCCUAAUUACAGCCACACUUCUACUUUUUCAAGGUUUCCUGUUUCACAUGCCUAGACAAAGGCUGUGAAUGGAUAG